rnacentral:rRNA from 1 species
UACAGAGGUCUCAAGCGUUGUUCGGAAUUACUGGGCGUAAAGGGCUCGUAGGUGGCCAACUAAGUCCGACGUGAAAUCCCUCGGCUUAACCGGGGAACUGCGUCUGAUACUGGAUGGCUUGAGUUUGGGAGAGGGACGCGGAAUUCCAGGUGUAGCGGUGAAAUGCGUAGAUAUCAGGAGGAACACCGGUGGCGAAGGCGGGUCUCUGGGCAGUAACUGACGCUGAGGAGCGAAAGCGUGGGGAGCGAACAGG